UCGCUACAUGUCAUUACACUUUUUUUUUCGAAAGCAAGAAAAUUUGCAUAUGUGCCUUCUAUUUCAAGCCUGCUGCCUGCAUAUUAUCAAUUCGUUCAAUUAUCCUACCACUUCCGUCGCAUAAACGUGUACCGUGCACCAGCAAUCGCUUUGUCUCUUAUAAAGGAUCUCUUGCUUCUUGGCUUAUUAGCAUCUCUCGCAACCUAAGUGCUGUCUAAUAAUUUGCCGUGUGCUCGUUCAAUCCUCUGCUAAGAGCAACCUCUGGGGGAGCAUUUGAUCAACUCUGUCCUAUCAACUUCAUCCGCUCAACCGCACCAGAUCAAC